rnacentral:rRNA from 1 species
AACGAACGCUGGCGGCAGGCUUAACACAUGCAAGUCGAACGCCCCACAAGGGGAGUGGCAGACGGGUGAGUAACGCGUGGGAAUCUACCCAAUUCUUCGGAACAACUGAGGGAAACUUCAGCUAAUACCGGAUACGCCCUACGGGGAAAGGAUUUAUCGGAGUUGGAUGAGCCCGCGUUGGAUUAGCUAGUUGGUGAGGUAAUGGCUCACCAAGGCGACGAUCCAUAGCUGGUCUGAGAGGAUGAUCAGCCACACUGGGAC